GCCGCGAUUUUGGGCUGGUGGAACGAGCAUUCUUCUUAUAAGUAUCCAGGCGGAUUUUCAGAAAAAACUGGACACUACACUCAGUUGGUUUGGGAUGACACCAUGUACGUCGGAUGUGGUUACACCCAUUUUCCUAUAGAUGGACAGUACCAAUAUGAGAAGAUUUAUGCCUGCAACUACGGUCCGGCGGGAAAUUAUCCCAGAGCGCCAUAUAAAACUGGAACUUCCGGAUGCGAGAACCUGUGUUGAGCCUUGAGACUUCCAUAACAAUGAUGUUGACUAUAAUAUAUUUUUUUUUGUGUUAGAUUGUCCUAGAUUUGUUAAUCAAUUAAAUUAUUUGAAAAAGAAAACAACAAAUGUAUAUAUAUAUAUAUAUAUAUAUAUAUAUAUAUAUAUAUAUAUAUAUAUAUA